UACAGAGGCCCCAAGCGUUACUGAGAAUCACUGGGUUUAAAGGGUGCGUAGGUGGCGCGUUAAGUCCGUUGUGAAAGCCCUGGGCUCAACCCAGGAACUGCUUCGGAUACUGGCGCGCUUGAGGCUAGUAGAGGUCACUGGAACUGACGGUGGAGCGGUGAAAUGCGUAGAUAUCGUCAGGAACGCCAAUGGUGAAGACAGGUGACUGGGCUAGAUCUGACACUGAGGCACGAAAGCGUGGGGAGCGAACAGG
rnacentral:rRNA from 1 species